rnacentral:rRNA from 1 species
AACGCGUGGGAACGUGCCCUUUGGUACGGAACAACUGAGGGAAACUUCAGCUAAUACCGUAUGUGCCCUUCGGGGGAAAGAUUUAUCGCCAUUGGGGCGGCCCGCGUUGGAUUAGGUAGUUGGUGGGGUAAAGGCCCACCAAGCCGACGAUCCAUAGCUGGUCUGGGAGGAUGAUCAGCCACACUGGGACUGAGACACGGCCCAGACUCCUACGGGAGGCAGCAGUGGGGAAUAUUGGACAAUGGGCGAAAGCCUGAUCCAGCAAUGCCGCGUGAGUGAUGAAGGCCUUAGGGUUGUAAAGCUCUUUUACCAGGGAUGAUAAUGACAGUACCUGGAGAAUAAGCUCCGGCUAACUCCGUGCCAGCAGCCGCGGUAAUACGGAGGGAGCUAGCGUUGUUCGGAAUUACUGGGCGUAAAGCGCGCGUAGGCGGUUUUUUAGGUCAGAGGUGAAAGCCCAGUGCUCAACACUGGAACUGCCUUUGAAACUGGAAAACUUGAAUCUUGGAGAGGUCAGUGGAAUUCCGAGUGUAGAGGUGAAAUUCGUAGAUAUUCGGAAG